rnacentral:rRNA from 1 species
GACAGAGGCCCCAAGCGUUAGGCGGAAUCACUGGGCUUAAAGCGUGUGUAGGCGGAUCGUUAAGUGUCUUGUGAAAUCCCACGGCUCACCCGUGGAACGGCUGGGCAUACUGGCGAUCUUGGGCCAACUAGGGGCAGUCGGAACAAGCGGUGGAGCGGUGAAAUGCGUAGAUAUCGCUUGGAACGCCGAAGGUGAAAACAGACUGCUGGGGUUGCGCCGACGCUGAGACACGAAAGCCAGGGGGAGCAAACGGGG